ensembl:lncRNA
GUUUGGCAGCUCCUCACCCAGUCGCAGAGAGAAGAAGAAAAAGAGUGGGAAGAAACACAAGCGAGACAGAUCUGCAUCUGGCUCCAGGAAAAAGAGAAGAUACAGGUCGGGAAGCCCAAAGAACAAACACAAAGACAAGAACAAACAGAAAAAGAGGUCCCCUGGUGAAACACCCAGCAGGAGUUCACAGCGUCAAGGCAGCUGCUGCAGCUCUCGUAGUCCCUCCUUGUCUUCCAUCAGGAGCGCCUCCAAAUCACCCACCAGAUUAAACUCCAAACACAAGACGGACGGUCAAAAGAUGAUUGGCACCCCGCAGUUCCCGGCCCCUGAGAGUCCCACCACUUGGCACAACGGGGACCACACCCAGCGAAGCCGCAACGGCAAGGCCGGCAGACUCAACCUCACCGAUGGCGAGAAAGGGAACGAUGAGGGAAUACCACUUUAUUGAAGUUCCACAUGCUGACUGCCAGCUCUGCAAGCAUCCAGUCAUCUCUGCUGAGAGAGAACAAGAUACACAGCGCCCCCAUCAGGAACCAGAUUGGAAAGAUGUGUGCGGCAGAAGAUGCUGGGAGUGUCGAUGGCAGGGGCACAGCUAUAGGGAGCUCUCUGAGCAAGGCGUCAGGGAGGAGAGGAGGCCAGAGAGGUCAGAAUAAGACCUCCCACUCCCCUGCUCACAGCAGUGACUCGACCCACUCCCAGCACAACCAUACUCACAGAGGGAGGAGCUCUCGUCACCAGAGAAAGGGAAAAGGUGGCCACUCUUCCAAGAGACACCACCGAUCCAGUCGGGGUCAGGCACGCCACCGGAGCACAUCAGCAUCUCCAGGGCGCCAAUCACACACGUCAGCCAACAAAGUCGGGAGCAAGGCAAACCUCCGACAGCGCAGCAGCUCCUGGAGCAGCGGACGUUCGUCCUCGCCCUCUGCCUCCAGAGACAGAGGACCCAGCAAGGCCAAGUCCCCACACAACAGGCAGAAUGCCUCCAGGGACAGGGAGAGUGCCAACCGCUCUGACACCGACAGCCGAGCUCGCCGCCGUUCACGCAGCUACUCACCUAUCCGCAAAAGAAGAAGAGAUUCGCCCAGCUUCAUGGAGGCUCGCAGGAUCACCAGCGCUCGGAAGCGGCCGAUUCCAUACUACCGGCCCAGUCCUUCAUCUUCCAGCUACGACAGCAGCCCGUCACGAUCCAGCCGCAGCCACAGCCGCAGCUACAGCAGCUACAGCCGCAGCAGAAGUCACAGCAGGAGCCACAGCAGGAGCCGGAGCCAGAGCUGGAGCCGCAGCCACAGCUGGAGUCGCAGCCAGAGCCGGAGCUGGAGUCGCAGCAGGAGCCGCUCCCGCAGCCA